rnacentral:lncRNA from 1 species
CGAAACCCCCAGCAGCUAGCUGUGCUGGCAGUGUGAGUACCAUAUCCAUCAUCAUCAAUAGGUGAAUCAUCGAAUUCUAUGAAUGACUUUGCUCCAAUUAGCUAAUUUUGAUGCACAUUUGUCCUUCCAUUUAGCAGGUGGAGGAGGCAUCCCUUUGUCGCUAAAUGAAGGGUGGUCAGGCGUAAUGCCCGUGUCCACGACUCCAGUCAUCACGCCUUUACCACAGUUGGAAUCCCUCCACAAACCCGUGUUCUGCUGCAAUCCAAGAAAGCUUUGGUGUAUGAAGAGAAUGUGAAUUCCAUCUAGCAUAAAGUUUUACAGGUAAUUACAUAUUAACAAACUAAUUAUGUAUUUAUAUAUUAUGUUGUUAGUGCAUAAAACAAACUCACCAUCAAGCAGUGGUGGAGCCACCCUUAGACAAAGAGCGUCAAAUUGACACCCCUUCGUUGGAAAAUUACACUAUAAUAGUUUGGUAAAAAAAAUAUUAUAUAUAUAUAUAUAUAUAUAUAUUGAUUUCGCUUAAUAAAAAUCUUGGCUCUGCCACUGCAAUCAAGUAUAGCAAAACCACAUAUUAGUUAGCUAGCCAUGUAGAAAAAUUGAGGAAGUACAAUAUAUGUAAUUAUCCGAGGACAUGACACUUGAUAGGAAAUUGGAGGUCGGGCAUUACGGUUGUAGGUUAAGAGGUAGUUGAGCUUCAGUUAGUCUACCAGUGUAAGGCUAGACUGAUAGGAUUUAGUCUUAGACUGCUAGUGGUCAGUGUUGUGUUUUCACCACUCUUCCGUUAUUUACUGGUUAUUAUUUCUGCUUUCCAUUUAUUCACUGGUUCUUGUGAUGUCUUUAUUAUUUCCAUGUGUUUUUAUUGAUGGUACUGAUAUAUUUUCUCUUUUCAUCUUUUCGUUUUCUUGGGCCGAGGGUCCUGAAUUUUUGAAAUGCUAAUUUGAAAUUCAGGACUAAGUGCCCUGAAUUUCUGAACUACUAAUUUAAAAUCAGGAUAUAAGAUUCGAACUUCUUGACACAAUUUUCGAAUUUUAGGACAUAAUGUCCUGAAGUUUGAACUUUGAUGUUUAAACUCUAAGAUGUCGUGUCUUGAUGUUUAAGUGAAAUUGGCUAAUCUUUAAAUGCAUUAUAAAAUAUAAAUAUAUUUUAAACAUCAUACUUAAAAGUGGCUACCUGGUAUCAUUACGUGGAAAAUAAUGAAGCCAAUGUAGUUUGAUUGAUAGUGUAGUAAUAGCCACAUUUUCAACCCUGUAAUAGAAAAAUAGCUAUUGUUAUGGAGUUUCAAUUUUCAUAGGUGAAACUACAUGAUAAUAUCCUGGAGUUACACCUAUGUCUGAAGUUGCACCUAUGAACAGAGGCAAAACUAGGAUUUGAAGUUUUUAAGUUCAGAAUUUUAAUAUUUUUAAAUUAUUGAGUUCUAAAUAAAUUAAUAAAUUUGUGCAUAUCCAAUAAAUUUCUUAGGAUAAAUAUAAGGUUUAGACCAAAAUUAUUAGGUUUGGACUAACCGGUAAGACACACACUAGCUCUGGCCCUACCUAUGAAAUUUUAAACUACAUAACAGUGACUAUAUUCCAAUUAAAGGAUUGAUAAAUGGCUAUUUGUAAAUAUCAGCCAUCUUAAAGGCGCAUUCAUUUUUUUUUAAUUCUUGGGUAUUUAAUAAUGGAGUAAUUGUAAAAUUGAGGUAGGAUCCACAUAGAUAUAUGCCUUAAUGAAGUAACUCAAAAAAGAAACAAUUAGGUAUUUGAUCCUUUUUAUUUGGUUGCUAGGAGCUUUGGUCCCUUCCCUAUGGAUUUUGGUGGGCAUUGAAACUUAAGUAAACAACUAGGCUAAAGUAAAAAUCCUCUUAAAUCUUCCCUCAUUAAUUCAACUCAUAAAUGGCUAAAAUUGGGUCAUUAAAUAAUUACAACAUUAAGCUGCUUAAAAAUAAAUACAAUUAACCGUUAUAAAAAUAAAAAUUUUAACCUAGAAAAUAAGAUAAUAUACUUACUAUAACAUGUUAAAAUAUAUUAAAAAUACGUCUAGUUUGAUUUAUUAGAUAAAAUAAUUAUGCGUCUAAUAUUCUCUAUUACUUUAUCCAUUUUUUGGUUUGUAUUUUAAAUCCUACAUUGCUAAUCAUGGUAUAGUUCUGACACAUCAAUUGGUGUAUUAUUUUAUACUUAAUAUAAAAUGGAAUAACUGUGACAACCCAAAAGGGUCAUCGUCUAUUUUUAAUUGAAUUCUGUAUUCUGAGACCUUGAGAACCUCAUUUAUCAUUACCUCGAUUUGUGUGCGCGGUCCGGGCGCGUAGCCGGAAAGCUUAAAUAUGAAAUUCUAUGAAAAAUGAUAAAAUUUGGUUAUAAAAUGAGUUAGUUUGACUUCGGUCAAUAUUUUUGGGUAAACGGACCCAGAUCCGUGAUUCGACGGUCUCGGAAGGUUCGUAGGAAAAUAUGGGACUUGGGCGUAUGCCUGGAAUUGAAUUCUAAGGUCCCAAGCCUGAGAAAUGAAUUUUUCAAAGAAAAUAUUUUCUGAAAUUGUUUAAGAAAAUUUGAAAUGAAAUUUGAUUAGAACAUGAUGGUAUCGGGCCCGUAUUUUGGUUCCGGUGCCCGGUAUAGGUCUUACAUAUGAUUUAAGAUAUUUCUGUAAAAUUUGGUGAAAAACGGAUGUCAUUUGACGUGAUUCGGACCUAAAUUGCUAAAGUUGAUAGUCGAUGAAGUUUGAGAAAAAUCCUUUGAUUUUGAGGUUUAAUUCAUUGUUAUUGAGGUUAUUUUGGCGAUUUGAUCGCAAGGAUAAAUUCGUAUGAUGUCAUUGAGUUAGUACGUAUGUUGGUUAGGAGCCCCGAGGGCUCCGGUGAGUUUCGGGUAGGUUCCGGGAUGCCUUAAGCUUAAAACCAGAUGUUGCAGGUUCAGAGAAAGUCACAAGUCUCUGAACCCGCUAGUGCGGUCCGCAGUCGACUAUGUGUGGUCUGCAGUCGACUAUGUGCGGUCCGCAAUGAAAGGUUGUGCGGCCGCGGUCGACUUUGUGCAGUCCGUGGUGGAGGGCUGUGCAGCCGCGGUCGGUUUUGUGCGGUCCGCAUAGGGCACCUGAGAAUAGUAUAAAUAGACGGGAUUUUCAGUUAUUUUUCACUUUUCAAAACCCCAAAAACAUAAGAGGCGAUUUUUCAAACAACAUUUCUUCUCCAAAUCAAUUGUAAGUCAUUUUUAACUAGUUUUCUUCAAUUAUUAACAUCUUUUAACAUGAUUUUAACUUCAAAUCAAUGAUUUUCAUGGAGGAAAUUGGGUGUUUUGGGUAGAACCUAGGUUUUUACAAAAUUGGGGAUUUGGACCUCGAUUUGAGGUCCGAUUUCAAAAUAAAUCAUAUAAUUGGGUUCGUGGGGGAAUGGGUAAUCGGAUUUUGGUUCGAACCUCGAGUUUUGACCAUGUGGGCCCGGGGGCGAUUUUGACUUUUUGGGUAAAAUUUUGAAAAACUCAUUUUCAUGCAUUGGAGUUGAUUUAUUUAGCGUUUAUUGAUGUAAUUAAGUAAUUUGUGGCUAGAUACGAGUGAAUUGGCGGUGGAAUCAAGUGGUAAAGCUAUAAUUGAAACUUGAGUUAUGUUCGAGGCAUUGAGGUAAGUGUUUGGUCUAACCUUAGUUUGAGGGAUUAGGAGUUGUGUCUUAUUUGCUACAUGCUAAUUGUGGAGUACGACAUAUAGGCAUGGUGACGAGUAUCUAUACGUUGGUGUCAAGCAUGCCCGUAAGUCUUGUAUUGUAACUGUCAUGACUCCACUGUGGUUUACUGCGCUUCAUAUGUAAUUAUCACCACUAUUCCCUCGCCGGGAUGUUUGUUUGAGGUUAAUGAUCCCUUGCCGGGAUGUUGUUGGAAUAUCAUUGUUCCCUUGCCGGGAAGUUGUUAUAUUGCUCUUGUUCCCUUGCCGGGACUUCUUGUGAUUAUUGUUGGCUUGAAAUGGGAGCGGGUGAUAUGCCUACCACAAGAAUUAUUGAAAUGGGAGCGGUGGUACGCCUACCACAAGAAUUAUUGAAAUGAGAGCGGAUGGUACGCCUACCACAAGAAUUAUUGAAAUGGGAGCGGGUGGUACGCCUACCACAAGAUAUAAUGAAAUGGGAUCGGGUUGCAUGCCUGCAACAAGAUGUGAACCGAAAGUGAAAUCUGCCUUUGUUUUCCUUAUCCUUGUUAGAAGUUGAAUUUUGGUUUCCUUAUAAUUCUCUUGAGAUUCUGCCUUAUCUCCCGUAGCAUGUUUCCCCUUCCCAGAUUUAACUGUUUGUUUCGGAUUAUUUCUCCGUUGCAUAUAUGUAUAUAUCUGCACAGGUUUAUCUAGAGUCUGGUCCUAGCCUCGUCAUUACCUCGCCGGGGUUAGGCCAGACACUUACCAGCACGUGGGGUCGGUUGUGCUGAUGCUACACUCUGCACUUAUGUGCAGAUACCGGAGCAGCGUUUGGCCAGCAGCAUUAGAUCGGGAGCCAGCCUUCAGUCUAGUGAGACACCGAGGUAGCCUUGCAGGCGUCCGCAGGCCCGACGUCUCCUCUAUUUCUUACUAUGUUAUGAUAUCUCUUGUAUUCGAGACAGACAGUAUUACUUUCUUUCAAACAAUUGUGUGUAGUAAUUUUAGUAGUCCGUGAAUGUUGUGAUACCAGUUUCUGGGUAGAGGUAUAUGUGGAGUUUCUUAUUAUUUUGGUUCAUUUUACCUAAGUCUUCCGCUUAAAUCUCAUAU